GAUAUAUAUGGAUAAGGGGCUCCUCCGUUGGUGGACGGGGGAGUCCCUUGUUG
rnacentral:ncRNA from 16 species